GAUGAACGCUGGCGGCGUGCCUAAUACAUGCAAGUCGAGCGAACAGACGAGGAGCUUGCUCCUCUGACGUUAGCGGCGGACGGGUGAGUAACACGUGGAUAACCUACCUAUAAGACUGGGAUAACUUCGGGAAACCGGAGCUAAUACCGGAUAAUAUAUGGAACCGCAUGGUUCAAUAGUGAAAGACGGUUUUGCUGUCACUUAUAGAUGGAUCCGCGCCGCAUUAGCUGGUUGGUAAGUUAACGGCUUACCAAGGCAACGAUGCGUAGCCGACCUGAGAGGGUGAUCGGCCACACUGGAACUGGACCACGGUCAAGACUCCUACGGGAGGCAGCAGUAGGGAAUCUUCCGCAAUGGGCGAAAGCCUGCCGGAGCACCGCCGCGUGAGUGAUGAAGGUCUUCGGAUCGUAAAACUCUGUUAUUAGGGAAGAACAAAUGUGUAAGUAACUAUGCACGUCUUGACGGUACCUAAUCAGAAAGCCACGGCUAACUACGUG
rnacentral:rRNA from 1 species